rnacentral:lncRNA from 1 species
GUCAGAUGUGACUUACUUAACGUUGACUUGAGACCAGAUGGGAUUGAAUGGGGUCUGAAGAUCAUAUGUCACAGAUGGUGACAGGUCGCUGAUAGUGACCAAGGCAAGAAAUAAGGAAUCACGCAGUUAGCCGGGCGAGUGGUUACGAUAAGCUAGAGUGCUAGUAUGUCUGCCAUGGUACCUCAUGGAUCUAAGUAGGUUACUUA